CAAUGGACGGCAGCUGUUUCAACCUCAGGCGCAUGCGCACUCGCACCCCGGGUGUCGCUCCCUCCGGGGCGGGAGCGGCAGCCCGAACUGCCUCGGAGCGACCGGUAAAUGGACCGGUACGUGGUAAAACGCUCCCACCCCGGGGAGACGGGGAGCGGGAAGAGGCCGCGGCCGCAGGAGGAGCCCGGGUCGGGGCAGCCCCUCUGGCAGGAGAUCCGGGCCGAGGGCCUGUGCUGCGAUUACCGGCUGCUCUUCGGUAGGGCUGAGGCGGAUGAGAUUUUCCAGCAGCUGGAAGAGGAGGUGGAGUAUUUCGAAGGUGAAAUGACAAAAUUGCACGUGUUUGGCAAGUGGCAUGACAUUCCAAGGAAGCAAGUAACCUAUGGAGACUCCGACUUAACAUAUACAUAUUCGGGCGUUACCUUCUCUCCAAAGCCAUGGAUCCCAGUCCUCAACCGUAUCAGAGAGCGCAUCACUUUGGACACAGGACACACUUUUAAUUUCGUUCUUAUUAAUAGAUAUAAAGAUGGUGAGGACCACAUAGGUGAACAUCGAGAUGACGAGAGAGAACUGGUUCCGCGCAGUCCUAUUGCGUCUGUGUCCUUCGGAGCCUGCAGGGACUUUGUUUUCAGGCACUGUGAUUCCAGAGGGAAAAAGGCAACGCGGCACAUCAAGCCCAUCAGGCUGCAGCUAGCCCAUGGCAGCUUGCUGAUGAUGAAAUACCCCACCAAUGUGUUCUGGUACCACAGCCUGCCCAUCCGCAAGAAAGUACUCGCCCCAAGAAUCAACCUCACGUUUCGCAAAGUGAUGACUAUAGCCAACAAGUGAACUAUUCAGCAAUCAAGCACCAGGUUUUUGUCUCUGAAAACAGAAGUUUCUUCACUAACAUGACUGUCACUUUCCUGUUCAAACACUGUCUUUGAUGAUUCAAGGGAUUCCAUUCUGACCACCUGGAAGCCCUCACCUUCCAUACUUACAGUGGAUCCUUCUGGGAUGAGGAAAGACUGUCUGAAGUCACCACCGGGCUUUGUGGAAUCAAGCAAUGUAGGUCCCUUAAGGGCUAUGGAAUUAACAUCUUAAGACAAUUUGGAGUUGGUCCUUCCCACCCUCUGCCACUCCAGAAAACGCUGUGUGUAGCCUGAAGAGCUCCUGUGUGAAUGUUUCUUAUCCAGAGAAUGU